rnacentral:lncRNA from 1 species
UCGCGGGCGGCGCCGCGUUCCCGCCCUACCGGCUGGGCUUCGGCGGCGCGGCCGCGGGGCUGGAGCGCGGCGCCUACGAGCCCUUCGACGUGGCGGGCAAGUUCGGCGGCGCGGCGCGCUUCUCGUACACCUCGCAGCACUCGGACUACGGGCAGCGCUUCCAGCAGCGCAUGCAGACGCACGUUUAGGGCGGGGAGGGCUCCGCGGGUACCUCACGAGCGUCCCCCUGAUAUUCAGGGGUUCGCCCCGAUUUCCCCCCCCGGCCUCUCCUCGGAGCUUCCGUUCGUCGCCCCGGUUCUCUCGCCGGUACGUUCCCGUCCCCGCGGGCGCGGGCAGGGGUCGGCGCCGCGCUCCUCGUGCCCCUUGCGGCCCCGGCGCCGUUCCCGGAGCUUUCCCAGGGAGCAGCUCUGUGCCAGAUCCAGAGGGGCGCGUGAACCCCAAAACCAGCCCCAACCCAAACCGUUCCCACUGGGAUCCGUGUGUUCCCAGAUCCAGAGGGGCGCGUGAGCCCCAAAACCAGCCCAACCCGAACCACUCCCACUGGGAUCCGUGUGUUCCCAGAUCCAGAGGGGCACGUGAACCCCAAAACCAGCCCAACCCAAACCAUUCCCACUGGGAUCCGUGUGUUCCCAAAUCCAGAGGGGCACGUGAACCCCAGAACCAGCCCAACCCGAACCAUUCCCGUUGGGAUCCGUGUGUUCCCAGAUCCAGAGGGGAGACACAAAUCCCAAAAAAACCCAACCCGAAGCAUUCCCACUGGGAUCCGUGUGUUCCCAGAUCCAGAGGGGCACAUGAACCCCAAUACCAGCCCCAACCCGAACCAUUCCCGUUGGGAUCCGUGUGUUCCCAGAUCCAGAGGGGCACAUGAACCCCAAAACCAGCCCAACCCAAACCAUUCCCAUUGGGAUCCGUGUGUUCCCAGAUCCAGAGGGGAGACACAAAUCCCAAAAAAACCCAUCUUGAACCAUUCCCGUUGGGAUCCGUGUGUUCCCAGAUCCAGAGGGGCGCGUGAACCCCAAACCCAGCCCCAUCCCGAACCAUUCCCGUUGGGAUCCACGUGUUCCCAGAUCCACAGGGGAGACACAAAUCCCAAAAAAACCCAUCUCAAAUCAUUCCCAUUCCUCAAAGCAUUCCCACUGGGAUCAGCAUGCUCCCAAAUCCAGAGGGAUGUGCAAAUCCCAGAACCAGCCCCAUCCCAAACCAUUCCCAUUGGGAUCCGUGUGUUCCCAAAUCCAGAGGGAUGUGCAAAUCCCAGAACCAGCCCCAUCCCAAACCAUUCCCGUUGGGAUCCACGCGUUCCCAAAUCCCGAGGGAUGCUCCAAUCCCAGAUCCAGCCGCCUCCCGCACCAUUCCCAUUGGGAUCCGUGUGUUCCCAGAUCCACAGGGGAGACACAAAUCCCAAAAAAUCCCAACCCGAACCAUUCCCAUUGGGACCCGUGCAUUCCCAAAUCCCGAGGGAUGCGCCAAUCCCAGAACCAGCCGCAUCCCGAACCAUUCCCAUUGGGAUCCGUGUGUUCCCAAAUCCAGAGGGGCACACCAAUCCCCAAAAAACCCAUCCCGCACCAUUCCCAUUCCCUGUGCCUUGAUUUUGGGGCCGCCCCUGGCUCAGGGCCGGCUCCCCCCGUUUCCCCUCGGCGCCGGGAAUUUGGGGUUUUCGGGAGCCGCCCCGCACGCACAGCGAUCCCCCGGGAGAGGCAGCGCGGGAUCCCAGAGCUGGGAUCGGGGUCCCCCCUGAACCCCCGCGUUCCCGGGAAUUCCGGGAAUUCCGACCGAAACUUUGGGAUCGGGAGCUCGGCCCUGCCCCGAAUCCCAGUUCCGGGCACCGGGGGGAACCGGGGACCCCAGCGUGGCGUGGGGGAAUUUGGGGGAUGAGUUUUGGAGGGAAUUCCCAGCCCCAAUUCCCAAAUUCCCAAAGGGGUCCCAGUUUGGGAUGGGGGAAUUUUUGGGGGAUGAAUUUUUGGGGGAAUUCCCAGAGGAUUCCCAGCCCCAAUUCGGCAUGGGGGAAUCUGGGGAGGAACAAUUUUGGGGGGAUGAAUUUUGGAGGGAAUUCCCAGCCCCAAUUCCCAAAUUCCUGAAGGGGUCCCAAUUCGGGAUGGGGGAAUUUGGGGAGGAUGAGUUUUGGGGGGAUGAAUUCCUGGCUGAUUCCCAAAAACCCCUCAAGGAUUUGGUACGAGACCCCUGCCCACCCCUCCGGGGGCUGCCUCGGGAUCAGGAUCUUCCCCAAAAUCCCCCAAAUCCCCAAAUUCCCGAAUUCCCAGUGGCCAAUCCCGGUACGAGCCGUGGGAUCUCAUUUCCCUCUGCCGAAACUCCCCAAAACCAACACAGAAGGUCCCGAAAGGCCCAAAGGUGCCUGAAUUCACCCCAAAAGCCCCGAGGGGGGAGGGAAUUCCCGCUCCAGGUGCUGCACCCCAAAUUCCAGAGCAAUAUCCCGCGGGAAAAGGGGGAGCCCCGCCCGGCCACGGGAAGCUUUAACAUUCCAACCCCACUUUGGGGCUGGAAAAUGGAAUUUCCCCCUUUUGUUUUUUAGCACAGGUUGGUUUAGAGACCCUCCCCCGUCCCUUUCCCCCCAAAAUUCCGCCAUUUCUC